GGAGAAGCAAAGUGAUGAGCUUUACUGGCUGGAGCCCCAGGAGGCACGUGUAUGUGUAUGUAUCUGUGUGCUUGUCUGUGCAUGCACAGGUGUGUCUGGGCGUAUGAAUGUGUGUGACUGAUUGUAGGGAAUUAGCUGUGUGCCUUCUGUUGGGCUAUGAUGGUCAAACUGAUAAGAUCUGAUUGUUUC
rnacentral:snoRNA from 1 species